AUACGUAGGUGGCAAGCGUUAUCCGGAUUUAUUGGGUUUAAAGGGAGCGUAGGUGGGAUAUUAAGUCAGCUGUGAAAGUUUGGGGCUCAACCUUAAAAUUGCGGUUGAUACUGGUUUCCUUGAGUACGGUACAGGUGGGCGGAAUUCGUGGUGUAGCGGUGAAAUGCUUAGAUAUCACGAAGGACUCCGAUCGCGAAGGCAGCUCACCGGGCCGGAACUGACACUGAUGCUCGAAAGUGCGGGUAUCAAACAGGAUUAGAUACCCUGGUAGUCCGCACAGUAAACGAUGAAUACUCGCUGUUUGCGAUACACUGUAAGCGGCCAAGCGAAAGCGUUAAGUAUUCCACCUGGGGGGUACGCCGGCAACGGUGAAACUCAAAUGAAUUGACGGGG
rnacentral:rRNA from 1 species